GACGAACGCUGGCGGCGUGCUUAACACAUGCAAGUCGAGCGGUAAGGCCCUUUCGGGGGUACACGAGCGGCGAACGGGUGAGUAACACGUGGGUGACCUGCCCUCAGCUCUGGGAUAAGCCUGGGAAACCGGGUCUAAUACCGGAUAUGACUCCAUGACGCAUGUUGUGGGGUGGAAAGCCUUGUGCGGCUGAGGAUGGGCCCGCGGCCUAUCAGCUUGUUGGUGGGGUGAUGGCCUACCAAGGCGACGACGGGUAGCCGGCCUGAGAGGGCGACCGGCCACACUGGGACUGAGACACGGCCCAGACUCCUACGGGAGGCAGCAGUGGGGGAUUUUGCACAAUGGACGAAAGUCUGAUGCAGUGACGCCGCGUGGGGAUGAAGGUCUUCGGAUUGUAAACCCCUUUCGGGAGGGAAGAUGGAACGAGCAAUCGUUCGGACGGUACCUCCAGAAGCAGCCACGGCUAACUUCGUGCCAGCCGCCGCU
rnacentral:rRNA from 1 species